rnacentral:rRNA from 1 species
UACGUAGGGCGCAAGCGUUGUCCGGAAUUAUUGGGCGUAAAGAGCUCGUAGGUGGCUUGUCACGUCGGGUGUGAAAGCUUGGGGCUUAACUCCAGGUCUGCAUUCGAUACGGGCUGGCUAGAGGUAGGUAGGGGGGGAACGGAAUUCCUGGUGUAGCGGUGAAAUGCGCAGAUAUCAGGAGGAACACCGGUGGCGAAGGCGGUUCUCUGGGCCUUACCUGACGCUGAGGAGCGAAAGCGUGGGUAGCAAACAGG